rnacentral:tRNA from 1 species
GCCUCAGUAGCUUAAUGGUAGAGCACCUGACUUGUAAUCAGGAGGUUGGGAGUUCAACUCUCUCCUGAGGCU